rnacentral:tRNA from 1 species
AUCGGUGUAGCUUAUGUAAAGCAUAGUGUUGAAGCCACUAAGAAGAUUUUGAUCCGGCGAUG